rnacentral:pre_miRNA from 1 species
CUGGGGGCGGGGGGGUGUCCCUCAGUAUGGAUUGUGAGAGGGUGCAGGCUAGGCUGUGAGGGACCCCACCAGUGCAUG